CCAUUCUAAGUUUCUACCGAAGUUAUAGGUAUAGGAGAAAGACUUUUCUUUGUCCCGAUCUUGAAAAGCUCAAUUAUCGGCCACAGCUACAGUUCAGAAGAGACAGUGCGUAGAGCGACCAGCCCCUAAUUGUAAUAGCAUGAGCUGUCCGCAGAUGUCCGCAGAAGAUUUGUCUGCCCUAUUCUGAUUCCUCCAUAGCUGCAGAAGAUUUGUCUGCCCUAUUCUGAUUCCUCCAUAGCUGCUGGGCAUAGAGCUGGCGCUGGCUAAUCUCGCCUCUCGUGCGCGUAUUAUAUCCUUUUUAUUCACAGGAGUUUACUUCCUGCAGGCACAGGAGUUUACUUGCUGCAAGCAGCGCUUGGAUGGGGGAUAAGAGGGAUAAUCCUUUAUCCCCCUUAUACCCAAAGGUAAAUUUUUUAUCCAAGAAUAAUAGUUCUCGAAUAUCUGAAAUAAACUGGUAUAACUAUUCCCACCAACACCUUCAUUUUCUAUAUAUAACUAUUCACUAUUUUUCUAAUUUCAUAUUAUCUAUCCAAACACUAUUUUUCUUAUCCCCGGAAACAAUCUAAUUUUCAUCCAAACGCUAUUUUUUUUAUACUCAUACUUGUACUUAUCCCUGUAAUAGCUAGUUCUUGCUUAUACCCAAACCAAACGAAGCAACAGAGUACAGCGUUGGCAAACGGUAGGUUGGGACUUACACCUCCAACGCUCUGGAAUGAAAAGUGGCCUCACCACCCUCCUCCAUCCAUCUUUCUCCCUUCUACGGCUCUUUUUCACAUAUAUUUCACAGUUAUUUGCAUACAGUUUCUCCGAGGUUAUUGUUCGCAUAAUUUAAGCGAGCAAAGCAUAACAGAUCAGACGAAACAUUCUAAAACAAGUAAGAAAAGAGUGAACUUUAAAUGAGUUGGGUGUAAGAUUUACCUCUAGUCUAGAAAUGUACAAAUAGCUUUGCUCUUCAGAAACCAUGGGUUGCACUAAUAUGACACAACUACUGUGAUUAGCAGCGACCUUGUCUUCAGCAGCCAUCUAACCCCUAAAUCAGAGUGUCGCAAGCCGGUGUGGAGUAUUGGAACCGUCCAACCAAUGCAUAAAAUUGGGAUAUUCCACAUUUCUAAUUAUGAGAAAGGUGAUAAAUAUUAAUAGAAUUACUAAUAGCAAAUGCAUGCAUUAAAUGUAAUCAUCACGCAAUCACUAAAAGGGACUAAAUUCAAUAAAUGUGACGCAGAGUAAAUCUAGAUCUAUAAAAUCUAAUCACACAAGCAGAUGAAGAUGCUCACAUCUUGAAGCAAAUUUCUCUACGUAAAACCUACAAUCACGAAGGUUUCUAGUAUAUCCCAUCUUCCGAAAGGGCACGAACAGUGGGCGGCCAAAUUCCAAAACCAACGGAAUUUGAAAAUUACAUGCAUUCUAUCAACCUUUCUGCAUGGGAAGCACAGCUAACUUUUUGAAAUCAUGAGUUCCAUGACUUCCGUCUUACAUAGAAGUUUGGAAUACUAGAUAUAUAACAUAAUGCAGCCCUCUUACCUACCCAAAUCAUAUUUCAGAAGAGGUUUAUAGCCUGUGUGUCGGAUCUUUAAAAUGCUUUGCUACACCCAAUCUGUAGCCCCUUUUUUUUUUUUCUGUUGAUAUGUAGCACAUGAUGGUAUUAACAGAAUUAUUUUUACUAUUUAAUAUUAUAUUUAUUAGAUUUGAUCAAUCUAGCAGUGAAAAAUGAUUUAGUUUAAUAAAUUUUCUACUAACGGUAAAUUUGACUAUGUUAAUCAAUCACACCAGGACAACCUAAAAAUCAUACCUGUCAGUAGUGAUGCCCAUGUCCGAGGUGUAUCUGCUUAAAGGUGAUUGGCCCUCGACCUCCCCAAAGGUCAGCUCCAUCUGUGAAAAAUUGCUUUCCCUGAAAAUGGGGAAUCAGGCACAGGAAACAAACAGGGUUAUUAACUGUUUAAUCGCUCAAUAAAUCCUACUUCGCAAUCAUCUUUCUCAAUAAAAUAAAACACAAUAGUUGCAGGAUAUGGACAUGUCAAAUCCUCUUUUAAGAAAUGUUUGCCUGGGCAAACCUGUUAUCUUUUUUUGCCCAUUUCCUGCAACUGCAAGUAGGUUUAAUUGUGGAUUUUGUUUGAGUGCCAAACACACGUGCAGUGACACACAUAACUAUGUGGGGCAAAUUUACAUAAUAUUGGUACGAUGCUUCUGCAUGAGAUCCUGAUACAACAAUGUGCGCCAAAUUGUUUGAACAUCUCAGAGAGUGCACAGCAAUUCAUGUUGUCCACUUCCAAGAACAGAGGCCAGAAAUUUAUAUAGAUUAGUGUUGAUCUUUAUCUUCAUACUGUCGCAAAGAUUGAAAUUAUAAUGUGGAUGGAGCUUGAGUGCCACUCUUGCGAAAAUGCUGUAGAAAUGCUCACACACCUAUAAAAAAGACAAAUUUGAUUUCCUGUUGGAUGCCGUGUGCAAAAAUGGCAUUGAUCACCCAAAGCAAAUGCUGUGUAUUAAAAGAUCAAAGUGGCUGGUGAUCUAAUAUAUGGUGUUGCAAUAGAGACGAAGAGAAAAAGCCAAAAGACAUCACAAAUUCAAAGGAAUAAAAGUACCUAUUUUUCAACUCUGAUAGCUUAAACGGUUAAACCAUAAUAAGUAGAUCAAGUUAUAAGGCACUUUAAAGGCAUUCUAAAAUUAUAAACCACAAUAUUCAAUGAAAUGCAAUAGAAACCUACUAAUCUAAGUUGAAAACGUUCUGUGAAGCAAGAAACAUACAGAAAACCACUGAAGGAAAAAAAGAUUAAUAGAGUAUUUACUAUGUACUUUCCCUCUUUACAAUCUUGCAGUAUCUUUUUCUCUCCUUGUUACUGGACUCAUGCAAGAAACCCAGAACAUGUGAAGGUGUUUCACUUUAGUACUUGUCCUUCUCUACUAGUAGAAAAACAAUAUCAAUUGCACCUGGUGCAACGUAAAUCUACACACCACGCAUCAUACAGCCCUUCAUUCCAAAUUGUCAUCACACUCCAUCGUCAAUUGAGUUUCGGCAUUUUCCUACUUCUAAUUUAAAUACUUCAAUUGAAAGAAUGAGAUGGAUGGAGCGUCAAUGGAUAUGUACUGCGUGAAUAUAUGGAUGAAAGGAGUAAAAUAAUGCAUUUCCAGUAAGUUCAAGGUCUCGAACAUCCUACUUAACAUUGUAAUUGCAAAAUAAAACUUGACUAAGAAGUUUACGGACUAAUAGGGCAAUAUACCCUGCUCAAAUCAAGAUAAAUAUUCAGUACGAUAACCUCGAUAUAUGGUCUUCUUAACACACUCUUACAGAAGCCAAAUGCUAAAAUACACAACCAGAUCUUCAGGGAAUAGAAAAUUCCGAUAUAGUAGUCCAAGGUGGGUGAAUAUAGAAGAGGAAGCAAAUGUGUACACAAGCACAAAAGGUGCAUGGAAACAACAAUUCUAUUUACUAGGUGUAGAUGGCAUUUGGGCUUGCACUUGCUAGAACUAAAAGCACAUCAAUGAUCUAAUAAUGACUUGGAUUAAGCAACCAACCAUAUCCAAAAAGUCAAGGAUACACAGAACAUGGGGAAGAGAAGAGACAGAUAAAACAAUGGCAAAACAAGAUUUACUUGAUUCCUCCACUAAGAUGCUAUAUCCAUGGUACAGAUACGAACCAUAUUUACUAUGCAAACAGAUAACUAUUUUCCUUGGCGAGUUAUCUUAUUUCUUUUUUAGAGAAUAAUUUGAUGACAUUUUAUCAACCUACAAUAGCGGACACGACGUCGUUGUUGGAAAACCCUGCUUUCCAUCUUUGAAAGCUCUAGUGGUACUUCUGAACAAAAAGGGCAAAGCACCAGACAAUUUCUGAACAAAAGGUGCAAAAUUAUAGGGAACAAAAUUGGAGAAGAACAACAAAAUGUGCAAACCCUAAAUUCGAAACCUUUGUGUUUCUUUUUACCCUGAAAGGAAAAUAAAAAUCAUAUUUGGAACUUACUCCUAAUGGAGAAAGUAGAAUCAAACAGAUUGUUGUAACCUUACCACAAUAGGAUAUUGUAAAAAAUUGUAGAACUAGUGUAACUCGUUUUAAGUGUAAGUCAACGGGAACACAAACAAGUUGAAUUAAUUGGAUGCUUUCAUUAUAACAAAAUGUAUAUUAGGACAAAAAAUUUGAAAUCUUAGACAAUGCAUAACACAUGACUAGUCCACAACCGCAACGUUACUCUGCUAAACUCACCAAAUUUAUUAAUACAAAAGCAAUUACCCACUUGCAAGAUAUUUUCUUUUUCCUUCCAUAGAUGUAAAAAGAAAAACAUCAUAUUAUUAUCUGUGGCUUUCUAACACGAUACUUUUGACUGAUUCACUCUCCACUGAGUCACUAUUAAGAAAGCAAAAAUUAGGUACUAUUGAAAACUAAGAUGGACAUACAAGUUGCGAACUCAUGUACGAUUUAAGUUAAUCUAAUGUGUAAUUAAAUGGCUUUCACAUGACAUAGAAUAAAAGUUAAAAGGCCAAAGUGCAUGAGAUUCCCUUAAUUACAUAGCUAGAUAAGGUUCUUAAGCAUACCAUCAAAUGACAAAGGAACGUUGAAUUACUUCAAAUGUAUACUUCUAAAUAAAGAAAGGAGAACCCUAAUUGGAUAACUGUCCUCGAUUUCAUUUGAUAAUUCUAAUAUAUCUACUGAGGGACAUUUUAAUAGACAAAAACUACUGAAUCAUGUACCAUCGUCUUUUGUUUGCACUUUGCUUUUCUCUUUUUUAUUAUUUUGGCCAUCACUUGACAAUUUCCUACAAGGCUAUAGAGUCUCUGUCAGAGUAUAGAGGUAUAAAAUUUUGAUAGAAUUGCACCAUACCAAUCUUAACAUCAAACUUAUUUUUUGAUGUUGGCAGAGGAAAACAAUUAGGAGUAAACGGAGGGAAAAAAAAUGUACCUUCUUGGAUUCUCCCAUUUCCAUUUCCUUACAUCCAUCAGCCACGGAAGUUGAUGGUCCACCCAGCGAGCAGGUAUGAUGCUCGUGAGACAGAGUCAUCUUUCUAGAACUUAGCAUGGACUGUAUCAGCCAAUCAUAAAUGUCGAGGAAGGGUGCAAAAAAAAAUUAUCGCUGUUAUUUAUUUCUGAAUGCAUGAGAGGAGGAAUCAUCAUGCAACUUGUCUUAUUCCAGCUAGUUUGAAAAGCGGUAUCCAAAUGUAUCCACUCCAGUGAUUCAGGGAGGCCCAAAAAAUCCCAAAAGCCUCACCUUUGAUGCUUUAGAAUGGUGGUGGAAAUCGCAACUGCAUAAGCAUACACCAUAUGCUUCUCCGGUGGUAGUUCCCAUUGUCAUUCCAAAGCAUGGGAGAUAUGAAGCUUUUUAAGUACUUUAGAUUCUUUGAACCUUCUAAAGUAUUAAAAUGGAUGUGUUUCGGAGAACAUAUAAUCAAACUAGGCCAUAGUUGUUUCUAAAAAUCGCUUGGCAAUCAUGGCUAAUAGAAGGUUGGAGGCUCUUCUCUUCAAUCGGCAUAGCUUGGCCUUGCAACUUGUACUGACUCUCGAUACAACGGAGUUGUUAUACUCUCACUCUCCCCUAACAUUGCAAUUCCGUCUUAUUUUAUCUAGUCCCUAUCCAAGAUGCAAAAGGGGACCAAAGUGCUAACACGAAGUCUAAAUCUCAUAGUUAACAGGCAUCGGAAAUAAACCGAUGAACCAAACAUAAGUAGAAGCACUAUAUCACAAAAAAAAAAAAGAACAAAAGGAAAAAAAAUCUAGUUCGAACAAGAAUUCGCCGGAAAAGAAUUUUACUGACAAAACUAUUUAGGUUCCUCUAAACAAUUAUAGUAUGGCAACACUUUCAUAGUAGCUCCAUCCAACCAAAGAAGCCCUAAACAAACAACUAAAGAAGAGGUGUCCAAAGAAGACAGAUAAGACAGAUAACCAAACAAUAGAAUAGAAUCAAUGAUCAACAGUAUUGUAUUUUCUUUUGGUCGCUUCAUGUUUUCGUCGGCUACUCUAGAGCCUAGCUGCCUCCCACAGCCUGUACGCUUAGUUCAUUUUGCUUAAUGAAUGAAUAGGUAGCUUGCUAUCUAUUCUCAAAAAAAAAAAAAAAUGAUCAACAGUAUUCUCAACAAGAAAAAGCAAGACACAAAUUUAAAAUAUAUAUAUAUAUAUAUAUAUAUAUAUAUAUAUCUUGUGAAAUUGUGAUACACGAGCAUUAUUGAGAAGUGAUAUAGAAGUGAAAGGGAAAUAGCACAAAUGGGUCCCUCCGCGAGCCGUGUCCCGACAGCGAAAGAAGUUAACAGGGAAAAAAGGAAAAGAAGCUCUUAAAGAUAGAGAGAGAAAGGGCAGAGCCCAUAUCUCUGUCUCCUAAAUCUUUUAUUUACUUCCUAAUCUUUUGUUUACUAUAAGAUAAGCUUACUGUAAUAGUUUAUACUAAAAUACGCAGCUCAAUACAGUUUGGAAAACUCAAGAAAUAAGGCUAAGAAAAGGAGAGACUCGUCCUUAUUCGAUCCCCUAAUCGUGUUAUUAUAUUAGUGUUAGAUCUUGUUAUUAUUAGAAUUAGUAUUAGACCCCCUCCCUCCUCCUGCUCCUCCUCCUCCUACUACUGCUAUAGCCCUACCCUCUCUCCUCUCUCCACUCUUUCUGUGUUGUCUUCUCCGCAUACUCUUCACUCUACUCUCACCCCUCUCCCCGCUUUCCAUCUCUUUAUAGCCCCACAUACUAAUCUCUCUUGUUUGCUCAACUAUCUGAUCUCUUGUUUCUUAGAUAGACUAGCAGUGUAAGAAACAAGAAGAAGAAGAAGAAGAAGUAGUAGUAGACUAGGACGAAGAGAAGGAGAAAGACAAAAAGAGAGAGAGAGAGAGGAUGGUGGUGAAGAAGCCUAGAGUGAUUAUAGUGGGUGCGGGAAUGGCGGGACUCACCGCGGCGCACCGCCUAUUCACGGCUUCGGGGGACUUCUUCGACCUGAGCGUAGUGGAGGCUGGGGAGCGGAUCGGCGGGCGGAUCCUGAGCUCGGAGUUCGCGGGCGACGGCGUGGAGAUGGGGGCCACGUGGAUCCACGGCAUCGGCG
rnacentral:lncRNA from 1 species